UGCUAAGUAUUGCUGAAGCUUUGAGUUUGUGAACAUAAAUAUAUGAUGAUAUCGUUCUGCAUUUUCAGAUACCUGGAUGAAAUCAGAGAGUAGAUGAAGAGUCCUAUUUAACCAGGAAUAUAAAUUUGCCACGUGAAGAAAGUCUGCUUCCCCUUCGCCUUUGUAAGUUUCCUGAAGCCUCUCCAGCUGGGUGAAACUGUGAGUCAAUUAAACUUCUUUUCUUUAUAAAUUAGCUGGUCUUGGACAGUUGUUUACAGCAGUGGGAAAAAGGGACUUAUACAGGAGCUAUUGUGGAGAUUCAGUGAAGUAAUUCAGCUCAGUCCUGACCCAUGAU
rnacentral:lncRNA from 1 species